rnacentral:rRNA from 1 species
UAGGGAAUUGUUCGCAAUGGGCGCAAGCCUGACGACGCAACGCCGCGUGGAGGAUGAAGCCCUUCGGGUCGUAAACUCCUUUCGACCGAGAUGAACAUCCGCCGAUCUAAUAAAUUGGCGGACUGACAGUAUCGAGGGAAGCAGCCCCGGCUAACUCCGUGCCAGCAGCCGCGGUAAUACGGGGGGGGCAAGCGUUGUUCGGAAUUAUUGGGCGUAAAGGGUUCGUAGGUGGCCGGCUAAGUCAGACGUGAAAUCCCUCAGCUUAACUGGGGAACUGCGUCUGAAACUGAUCGGCUUGAGUGCAGGAGAGGAACGCGGAAUUCCAGGUGUAGCGGUGAAAUGCGUAGAUAUCUGGAGGAACACCGGUGGCGAAGGCGGCGUUCUGGACUGCAACUGACACUGAGGAACGAAAGCCAGGGGAGCAAACGG